UGAUGUGAGGGCGAUCUGGCUGUGACAUCUGUCACCCCAUUGAUUGCCAGGGUUGAUUUGGGUGAUCUGGCUGGCUAGGCUGGUGUCCCCUAUCCUCCCUCACCACUCCAUGUGCAUCCCUCCCGAAGUUGUGUGCUCGGUCAAAGAGGACGACCAUCCCUGAUAGAGGAGGACCGGUCUUCGGUCAAGGGUAUCCGAGUAGCUGCGCUCCCCUGCUAGAACCUCCAAACAAGCUCUGCCUCCUUCUUUUAUUUAAAAAAAGUUGUAAUUUUAUUGGGCCCACUCAGUUAAUCCAGGAUAAUGUCCCCAUUUUAAGAUCAGCUGACUAGCAACAUUAAUUUCA
rnacentral:snRNA from 1 species